GGGCACAUGGUGUAGUUGGUUAUCACGCUCGCUUAGCAAUUUCCUAUGAUCUUGAAUGCGAGAGGUGUUGGGUUCAAUUCCCAAUGUGUCCA